rnacentral:rRNA from 1 species
GUACACGCUGUGACUAGCAUAUCAAUAAGCGGAGGAAAAGAAACUAACAAGGAUUCCCCUAGUAACGGCGAGUGAAGCGGGAAGAGCUCAAAUUUGAAAUCUUAAAGGGUUUCCCCUUACGAAUUGUAGUUUAAAGAAGUGUUUUCUGUUGAGGUUUUGGUAAAAGUUCUUUGGAAUAGGACAUCAUAGAGGGUGAGAAUCCCGUAUUUGACCUUUACUUUCAACUUUGUGAUACACUUUCAAAGAGUCGGAUUGUUUGGGAAUGCAGUCCAAAAUGGGUGGUAAAUUUCAUCUAAAGCUAAAUAUUGGCGAGAGACCGAUAGCGAACAAGUACCGUGAGGGAAAGAUGAAAAGAACUUUGAAAAGAGAGUUAAACAGUACGUGAAAUUGUCAAAAGGGAAGCGUUUGACACCAGUGUUGUUUUUCUGGAAAUCAAUUAAAGAACUGUUUAUGCUAAGCUGUUUAGACUUUAUCAGCUAUCUGUUUAGUUUUGAGCUUUUCUUUAAUGCACUUUUCAGUUAACAAGUCAACAUCAAUUUCUUCUGCUGUAAAAAAGCUUGAGGAAGGUGGCUUGAGAUUCGUCUUAAGUGUUUAUAGCCUCUUGCCUAUGCAGUCGGAGAGAUUGAGGUCUGCAGCGUAGAUCCUUCGGGGCUAAAUGCAUUUGUGCUAAGUUAUAGCAUUUUAUAGACAACUUGUUGACUAUGAUUUGUCUUGUAGCUUACUCGCUUAUGUUAUUUUACCUACGCUUAGGAUGUUGAGUCGUAGAGCACGCAG